GCUCGCAGUACUUGGGCUAGGCUAGCGAAAUCUCGCGAGAUGCUGCAGGGCUACUGAGCCGCUUCCCCUCAGGCGCAUGGUACCCGAGGCCCGGCUGCUGCUGCUGCCGCUGCCCGCCGGCGCGGUUCCCGCGGUGAUGCUGGGGACUUUCCUGUGGGGCCCGCGGGCGCUUCCGGAGGCACUAGCCAGUGCGUCCCUGGCGAGGCCUGCUCGGGGCUUUGACCGCCCGCUGCUCCCUGCUCUCACUUGGGCCCUGAGCCUGAGGAAAGACAGCUUCCCUCCUUGCGGCCUCUUAGCCUGACAACCAGGCAACCAGGCAGUGAGAUUUGCAUUAUCAGAGAUUAAUUCCAGUCGUGAUGCAGCGGGUGUGUCCAAACUUCCAACUACACUUUUAUUUUAAAGACUGAUAUUUGAAGGGCCGGGAUAUGAACCCAGGAUCUUCUGAAUACUAGAUAAGAACUCCCAAUACUUCCAGUCCCAUUUUAUGGAUUUUUAAAAACAAAAAUAGGAUCCAGGAUGAGCAGAAUCUUACAGCAUUGCUAACCAGAACCACAUGGACCCAAGCAGCAAUUGCAGCCAAACCCUUUGUACCUCGCUUGGAGAGACUGACAAGAGCGUCCCUGCUGCUGGAGAAUUUGGUGAGAGGCAGUACUGCUGGUGAAGCAAACCUGGGACAAAUGGAAGCUUAGAAAUGAACCAAUAGGUCGAGGUUAACCAGAGAGAAAGCAACUGGUAAUGCAAGCUCUUCUGUCUUAUAAUUAAAAGGAUUUCCUGUGUGGUUACCUGGCAGAAUUGCUAAAUGGCUUGCAUGAAAUAACAUGCAGCAUUCUGCAGUUACUGUGCAAUUACCUUAAAUCAUCACCAUGCAGUCAAAGACAAAGAGAAAAAGGAGAAGCUUUUAACAGUAAUUUGUAGCAAAGAUGUUUGGAAUAAGAAUACAUUGCUUGUUACCACUGGCUCUCGGAUUAAUCACCUAAUUGCAAAUUGGCUUUCCUUAAUGUCUGAACAGUGUUGAAAUAAUCCUAUACCUUCUCUGCUCUUAUAUCCCAUUAUUUAAAUUUAUGUAGAACAUGCCUGCACUUACAGAUUUUUUUCUUUCUCUUUUGAGAGGCAUUCAAAGGGGCUAUUUUUUCCUUUCUAUUUGGAGUCAGGGAAAUCAGACUAGCGAACCAUGAGGCUGUAUUGUGAACUCAUGGCUCAUAGGUACAAUAAAUAUAAAAAUGAAAGUGUUCUGAAAAACAAUAUAUAGAUCUUUAGACGCAGAAAAGCCUACCCCAAACUUCAUGUUCUGGAGGAGAUAUUCACUGCCUUUGUAUAUCGCUUUUCACUCACCAUUGUCUUUCUUGCACUCUGAACUUCUCUGUUUAAGGAAUCAGACUUAAAGUGACACUUUGCUCACUAUAUUCUAAAGGUGACUGUCACUUUCCACUAAUGAUAAAGGACACCAGCUAUUGGUUGGUUGUGGUACUUAGUGUACAAGAUCAAGAGAACAGUCCAUAUGGUCAUCCCUGGCCCCUAGGUAUGUGCCAUUCUAGAUAUAGGGAUCUGCAGUACCAUCACCUGAAGAAGUGGUGCUUAAGUAAAUGGAUCGAAGUCAUUAUUAGUGCAGUGUCCUACCAAAGGAAAACAACAAGAGCACACAGGGCCUGGGUAGGUACCUGCUUCCACCUCCUUCUUUUAUAAAGUCCUUCCAAUGCAAAAUCUAUUUGUUAUUAAACAUUAUGUAAUGAUGAAAGGUAUAAAGAAGAAAACAAAAUUAUCUUUUCCCUUAUGAUGAAAUAAACAAUGUAAAAACUUUGCAAAUUUCUGACAUUUUUCAAGAUUUUAAAAAUUUCCAUUUUUCUAUAUUUCCAGAUAUAUUUAUCAUUUCAUUUUCUAAAUGAAUAUAUACGUUUGCCAAUCAGGAAAUGUUCUGAACCUGUAAGAACUAGUUUUGGAAAAGACAAAUUUCAGGUUAAUAUGACAUACACAUUGUAGAUGAUCCUUUUAAAAACUAUUGGAAAAUAAAAUGCAGAAUUGGUCUUCUACUUCACUUGUUACUAUAGGACCAGUAUACAUCUUCAAUUUUUAUAUUUAUUUAUUUAUUAAGUAAGAUUGAAAUACCAUGUUCACCUCCAUUUUGAAUCUGUUCCCACAGUUUUCUUUUUAAUAGCUUUGAGAUAUGUUUUGAAUAAUUAUUUUAAUAAAUUUAUCUGAUCUUUCAGCAUAUUUAAAUCAAAAUUUAUCUUUUUAAAAACCAAAUUUUGUUAUACAAUGCAAUCUAUGAAGUCCCCUUUAUUCUCUGAGUCACAAAAAAGGAACAUCUUUGUUGUUUUAAAUUCAAAGAUGAAAGUAACAUCAACUAACUGGUUUCAUUCCUAGCAACUAAAACUUUUCGUUUCUCUGAACCAAAACUUUUCAUCUUUCUUCCUCCUGAUGGGAUUGAACCUACCAUUGUAGUGUAAUUCAAAGACUUUCUAAAAUGUAAUCUUUUGAAUGAAUAAGGUAAUAGACUCUGAUUGAAAAUUUAAAAACUGAAGUGAAAAUGUUGAAGGCAGGAAUUCAGAUAGACUGGAUGAAUGAAUUAAAUUUUGGACUGUAGAAAUUAUAUUGUUAUA